ACACGUUUCUCGUUCAGAGAGUCGCAGCAGCAAUAUUAUUAAUUUAAUGAUAUGCGCAUAUAUAUUUUAUUUAUUUGCCGUGUUCUGGUGUAAGUACGCGCGAAACUGAUAACGUUCCGUUGUUGCUAUAAAUAAAUUAGAGGGGAAUUUUCGUACUUGGUUCCCGAUUUUCAAAAAAAAAAGUUACUGCGAAGAAGAAAAGCGUUCGAACGUCAUGAAAUAGAGCAAAAAAAAAUGUGAAACGUAAUUCGGUCACGUGUACAGGAUGGUGCAAAAAGUCGAAGCGAGUUGUUUAUAACACAAAAAAAAAUUAUAUUUAGAACUUGAAGGUAUAGAUUCAUUCAUUUACAUUCGGAUUAACAUGUUCAAAGAGUAGUUUUUAUAACGAGCUUGAAUGAAAUAACAACAAAAAAAAAAAAAUACAAAUACGGAAUAAAAAGUAACAGGAUGCAUUGAAUGGCGCAUUGAUAGUGCGAGGUGUUCGCAGCGAGACUUGUAAAUGCCACAUUAUGCAUAUUGAUGACGAUUGAACGGCAAACAACGACGACGUGGAGUGUAGGUACAAAGAAAUUGUUUGAUGUUUAUUUACAUUUUUUUUCCUGUACAACGAUGCGAGAAGGCAGUGCGAGGAGCGAAAAGAAAAAGAGAAGUAACGCAUAGAACUGGAAAUAAAUCAUGAUUCUAGCUGUACCUUAAUGAGGCCUAAGCGAUUUUGAAAAAUAUUUUUGAGAAUUUUUAAAGAAAAUAUUUAAUAUCGAAUCUUUUAUUAAAUUUUUGCAUUUUAGAAUUAAAAAAACAAAAUUUUUAAUUUUUUAGAAUAAAAAAAAAAAAAUUUU